rnacentral:rRNA from 1 species
AUUGAACGCUAGCGGGAUGCUUUACACAUGCAAGUCGAACGAGUGGCGGACGGGUGCGUAAUAUAUCGGAACGUGACCAGUAGCGGGGGAUAACUACUCGAAAGAGUGGCUAAUAACGCAUACGAUUGGAGCGGCCGAUAUCGGAUUAGCGAGUUGGUGGGGUAAAGGCCUACCAAGGCAACGAUCCGUAGCGGGUGUGAGAGGACGCCCAGCAACACUGUGACGUAGACACGGCCCAGACGCCUACGGGAGGCAGCAGUGGGGAAUUGUGGACAAUGGGGGAAACCCUGAUCCAGCCAUCCCGCGUGUAUGAGAAGGCCUUCGGUUUGUAAAGUACUUUUGGCAGAGAAGCGGUAUCUGCAGAAUAAGCACCGGCUAACUACGUGCCAGCCGCCGCGGUAAUAC